UUAUCAUUGUCACAGAGAUUCUAGGUCGAACUUGGAUGCCCAUGCUGAAAUGUUCACCAUUGAAUAUUCUUCUCCAAGUGCAUGAGAUGAUCCUACAACAAACAUUUCAAAGUCAUGUUCGCAUGAAAAUUGACUCAAAUUAAGCCGAAGUUUAAGGUGUGGUGACAAGAAUAUUUAAAAUUCUAUAUGUGGCUUGCAUCAUAUUUGGACAGCAGGUCUGUGAGCUAUGUGUGGGCAGUGCUUGAACAGUCCAGAAGAGGGCAUUAAAUCAUCUCUAACUGAAGUUACAGACAGUUGUGAGCUGCCAUGUGGAUGCUGGGAAUCAAACUCCUCCUUUGGAGGAGUAGCCAGUGCUCUUAAUUGCUGAUCCAUCUCUCCAGCUUCAUGUAUAGUCUUUUGCAUGAUAUUUCUUAAGAAAGGAAGUCAUCUUCCUCUAAUUGUCCUAUGACUUGUAGUGGGCAAAGGUUGAUGCAAUGACAUGCCAUCUCACCAACUCAGUAAUUAAAUCAAAUUCAAGCACUCAGACAUGAAGAUACAUGGAUAUUAUUCUGACCUUCAGUGUAGUACCAAGUUUUGGUAAGUAGAACACUCGAUUUCUCUCCUUUCUAACUAAAAGACUGUUUUAGAAUAUUA